rnacentral:rRNA from 1 species
UUGUGUGAAUACAUAGCACAUUCGAGGUAGACGCAGAGAACUGAAACAUCUAAGUACCUGCAGGAAGAGAAAGAAAAUUCGAUUCCCUGAGUAGCGGCGAGCGAAACGGGAAAAGCCCAAACCAGCAAGCUUGCUUGUUGGGGUUGUAGGACUCCAAUAUGGUAGUUCUUUCAGAUAGUCGAAUGACUUGGAAAAGUCAGUCAAAGAGGGUAAAAACCCCGUAGACGAAAUGUGGAAGACACCUAGGAGGAUCCUGAGUACGGCGGAACACGAGAAAUUCCGUCGGAAUCCGGGAGGACCAUCUCCCAAGGCUAAAUACUCCCUAGUGACCGAUAGUGAACCAGUACCGUGAGGGAAAGGUGAAAAGCACCCCGGAAGGGGAGUGAAAUAGAACCUGAAACCGUGUGCCUACAACAAGUCAAAGCCCGUUAAUGGGUGAUGGCGUGCCUUUUGUAGAAUGAACCGGCGAGUUACGAUUGCAUGCGAGGUUAAGUUGAAGAGACGGAGCCGCAGCGAAAGCGAGUCUGAAUAGGGCGUUUGAGUAUGUAGUCGUAGACCCGAAACCAUGUGAUCUACCCAUGUCCAGGUUGAAGGUGCGGUAAAACGCACUGGAGGACCGAACCCACGUACGUUGAAAAGUGCGGGGAUGAGGUGUGGGUAGCGGAGAAAUUCCAAACGAACUUGGAGAUAGCUGGUUCUCUCCGAAAUAGCUUUAGGGCUAGCCUCGGAAUUGAGAAUGAUGGAGGUAGAGCA